rnacentral:rRNA from 1 species
AGUGAACGCUGGCGGUAGGCCUAACACAUGCAAGUCGAACGGCAGCACAGUAAGAGCUUGCUCUUACGGGUGGCGAGUGGCGGACGGGUGAGGAAUACAUCGGAAUCUACUUUUUCGUGGGGGAUAACGUAGGGAAACUUACGCUAAUACCGCAUACGACCUACGGGUGAAAGCAGGGGAUCUUCGGGCCUUGCGCGAUUGAAUGAGCCGAUGUCGGAUUAGCUAGGUGGCGGGGUAAAGGCCCACCAAGGCGACGAUCCGUAGCCGGUCUGAGAGGAUGGGCCGCCACACUGGAACUGAGACACGGUCCAGAAUCCUACGGGAGGCAGCAGUAGGGAAUAGUGGGCAAUGGGGGGAAGCCUGAAGCAGGCAAGCCGCGGGGGUGAAGAAGGCCUUCGGGUUGUAAAGCCCUUUUGUUGGGAAAGAAAAGCAGCAGGUUAAUACCCCGCUGUUCUGACGGUACCCAAAGAAUAAGCACCGGCUAACUUCGUG